GACUCUUUGGUGACAUCCGAUAGAAUUGGAACGGCAGAGAAUAUUAGCAUGGCCCGAUGACACGCGCAAAUCAAGAAAUAGUUUGACUUUUU
rnacentral:snRNA from 1 species